UCAGAAGGCUUGGAAGAACUAAGAGCAGUGAUUGUUCAACUAAGAAGGGCUAGCCUCAAUAUCCCACUUCUGUACUCUGCUUGCUUGCAUACCUGCACAUUGCCAAAGUAUAAAAAACUUUGGAAAAUUAGACAGGCGACCGCUCAGUCUCCUCUCAAAGAGGGCUGACGGUCCCUAUGCAGGUAAUAAAACUUUUGAACUUGUCGGCGGUCUGGGUUUAGUUUCUGGGAAUGGACAGUAGCUACAACAUUUGGAGGUUCCACCGAGAUCCUACUGCCACUGUCCGAGCCUGGUUAGAAAGGAGACCUCCUUUUACAGGAGUGCUCUCCCCAGAACUAGGGGAUUUCCGAGGAGACGUGCCUUCGCCCCAAUUCAUUUGAUUUGAGCAACCGCCUUUGAAACUGUUUUCCACGCUCAUCAGCCCACCUGGGACGAUUGCCAGCAACUUCUCCAAGUCCCAUUCACAUCGGAGGAAAGGAGCGCAUCCAGAGAAAGGCCCAGAAGGCAGUCAUUGGACCUGAUGGGCAGGCAGCGGGCACUCCCCACUUGAGAGAAACUCUUUUGCCCACUGCAGACCGAUGUGGGAAGCCCUGACCAGUCCCUGCAGGCUGUGCAGCAGGAGAGAAAGAUAAAUCAUCUGGGCCCAACCAAGAAAAAGGUAAAGAGGCAGCCCAACACCUUAGAACCAAGGUGGACUGGCCCAUACCAGGUGAUACAACACCAACUGCUGUUAAAGUAGCGGGGAAAGGCCGUGGAUUCAUCAGUCACAAGUAAAGAAAGCCCUCCCUGAGCAUAUCCCGAAAAGAUGGACACUCAGAGAGAUGGAAAACCCCUUAAAAUUAAGACUUUGCAGAACUUAAUUAUUUUUGUCUGUCUGAAUAUUGCUGACAGCACCCGCCGUUUCCCCCAUCAACCACAAACACAUCUGUGGACUGUUACUCGACCCUCCAGCGGGAAAAAUGUAACCUCUUCCACUGGAUCUGAACCCCUGUUUUCCACUUCGAUUUGUGUGAUUUGUUUGGACCUGAGUUGCAUGUAAAGAUCAUUGGCGGACAUAGAUAUAGUAACUCCUACACCCCAAGGGGAUGCUCGAAUCUAAAUUUUAAAAAACAGCUUAGAAAUUACCAUUUCUAUAUAUGCCCAGCUAAUGAACCCCCUAACUGCCAAGGGGAGGGACAUUACCAUUGUGGGGUUGUAAAACUGUAUCAUCUAAAGAGUGGAAACUUGUUAAAAAAAAAACCCUGAUAUUAUUUUUUUUAAAUGAAACUAAAGUCUGAGGGGUUUAAUCCCACCACUUGUACAGUUUCCAAAUGUAACCCAAUAAAAAUUGGAUUCAAGCGUUAUUAAGAGCAAAAGUGGUUCACUGAGAAAACGUGGAAAAAUUCAACCUUAUAUAAACGGUAAAGAUUCCAGGACAGCCUUUACUAUCCAAAAAAAGUAAAAUGUGGCAACCUCCUGUCCCAUUAGGCCCAAACCUAGUGAUAAAUCCUGAAAAGCCACAGCAGCGUGUCACUAAGAUCCCUUUGCCGCACCCUCCAGACUCUUCAGUGACUUUCCUGUUUACCGCCAACCCAACUCAAAAAGCCCUUCCCAUUCAGGAGCCACCUCAAGGUUCUGUGUUUAAUACUCUGGAUGCUGUAUUCCAAUUCAUGACCUCAACAAAUCCUAACCUCACAGCCGAUUGUUAGCUUUGUCUAAACCCUGCUCCCCCUUACUAUGUAGGUAUAGGUACAAACAGCACUAUUGAUACAGACUGUAAUCAAAUUAAAAAUGUUAGCAUAAAGGAUUACACUAAUCAGCAGUCAGUCUGUAGGUGGGGGUCAGAAUGGGCUCAAUUCUAAGCUCACUUUAAGAAUUUUGCAAGGGCAAGGACUGUGUUUAUAAUCAUCUAAUUAUCCCUUAAAUAUGUCAAGGUAUCGAGAUUUUUGCCUUCAAGCUGUUCCCAUUGAACCAAAUGCUAAUCCUUAUUUGUUAUCUGCUAAGAUGGGUACUGAUUUGCUUGUUCCACAGGACUAAAGCCCUCUCUUUUCCCAGUAUUCAGAGCUGACUCAGGUAUUUGUGUGCUCCUGCAUGUUAUUCCUCAAGUGUACCUGUAUUCUGGUGAAGGAGGUAGGGAUCACUUUGGAAUUUCUAAACGAGUUAAAAGAGCCCCAAUUUCGGUCCCACUGUUAGCAGGGCUCGGGAUUGCUGGGUCAGCCACAGUAGGGUCAGCUGCUUUAAUACAAGGAAACUUAAACUAUCAGACUCUUAGUUAGCAAAUUGAUUUGGAUUUGCAAGGAUUAAAAAAUCAGUUUCCCAUUUAGAAAACUCCUUAGACUCCCUUGCAAAAGUUGUGUUGCAAAACCGCCGAGGGCAUGACUUGCUCUUUUUGAAACAAGGAGGGCUGUGCAUGGCGUUAGAAGGAACUUGUUGUUUUUAUGCAAACCAUUCAGAAAUCAUUAAAAAUAGUUGAGCCCUGGUUAGGAAAAAAUUAAAGGAAAAAGAAAAAAAAAAGAAUUGGUUAAAAAAGCUAUUUAAUUGGUCACCCUGACUAACUACCCUAGUAACAGCCCUAGCCAGGCCCCUAGUCCUCCUCCGGUUAAGCCUUACAUUUGGACCAAUAAUAAUCAAUAAGCUAGUGGCAUUUGUUACACAAAAAGUACAAGCCAUAAAACUCUUGAUGCUAAGCCCACCAUACACCCGGCUGGCGAAAGCAAAUUCAGUAAUUUGAACUUGGCUAAGAACAGGAGGGAAUGUAGUAGCUCCAGGAAAAGCUUAAACAGCCCUGACAAGAGUGAAGCCAUUCUGAGCUGACAGAAGCCAUUAUGAACUAUAAAUGAACUAGCUAUAAACUAUAAAUAAACUAGCUGAUAGUAGGGAGGGAGGCUGUGCUGAGAAGCUCAACAGAUUGUACCAAAGGAAAUGUAUGUUCAGAAGGCUUGGAAGAACUAAGAGCAGUGAUUGUUCAACUAAGAAGGGCUAGCCGCAAUAUUCUGCUUCUGUACUCUGCUUGCUUGCAUACCUGCACGUUGCAAAAGUAUAAAAAAACUGGAAAAUUAGACAGGCGACCGCUCAGUCUCCCCUCAAAGAGAGCUGAGGGUCCCUGCACAGGUAAUAAAACUUUUUCUUUUGAAGUUGUCGGCGGUCUGGGUUGUUUAGUUUCUGGGAAUGGACAGUAGCUACAACAAUAGAUUUGAGUGAAAAUGAGCUUUCCUUUGGGGUAGAAAACAAGAAAUAAUUAAAUGUUUUUAAACUUGCAAGAUAUGACAAAAUACCAAUUUAUAAACUAUCAAGGGCU